rnacentral:rRNA from 1 species
AUGUGGAAUAAGGAGCCCAGGCGACGUGUCCGUGUGUUAGGUCUGGGUCCAACACCUCACGAUUUGGGCACACUGGGUACAUGGGGUAAAUUGAGCACAAGAGUUCUAGUUGAAAUGCAAGGGCAUCGAGAAGCUGAAAAUCGCUAUAACAUGCUCCAGGGGCAUGUGCAACAAAUGGAAGAACGAAUGAACCGAAUGGAAUUGAUGUUAGCUUCACAAGGAAGGCAUAAUCUGGAAACUCCUAGCUCGCAGCACGGUUCCAAUUCUCGACAAAACUCCGGAGCUGAAGCUGAGGAACAUAAUGAUGCUGAAGAAGAUGUUUGA